UACGUAGGGACCGAGCGUUAUCCGGAUUCAUUGGGCGUAAAGAGCUCGUAGGCGGCUAUUCAAGUCGAACGUGAAAUCUCGGGGCUCAACUCCGAGCCUGCGUUCGAUACUGGGUAGCUAGAGUCUGGUAGGGGGAUCUGGAAUUCCUGGUGUAGCGGUGGAAUGCGCAGAUAUCAGGAGGAACACCGGUGGCGAAGGCGGGAUCCUGGGCCAGUACUGACGCUGAGACGCGAAAGCGUGGGGAGCGAACAGG
rnacentral:rRNA from 1 species